AGUAAGGGAAAGCCGCCGGAGCUGGAGACAGGCUGGAAAGAGCAGCAAUUCCAUUUUGGAAAAUUUAUCCUGAGGAAAUAAAUAAAGAUGUAAACAGAGAAUAACUUACAGAUGUGACGUUUGUGAUCGUUAAAACUGGAAACAGCGCAAGAGUGGACGAUAGGGGAUGAGAGAGCCACACAGCGCAUAGAAGAUGAUCAGUCUGAAGAGAGGGUUUUCAGACAUGCAAUUAACUGCUAUUCACUGUACUUCAUUUUAACUGCAAACUAGCAGGAAAAAAGAGGUCAACUCGGAGGAGCCAGGGAUUCAGCCCACUCUGGACAAC
rnacentral:lncRNA from 10 species